CCCGCUCAGAAACUUAAAGGAAGUUAGAGGGGCCCGCGCAAGCGGAGGAGCAUGUGGUUUAACUCGAUGAUACGCGAGGAACCUUACCUGGGCUCGAACGUAAGAUGACUGUAGGUGAAAGCUUACAUCUCUUCGGAGCAUUUUACGAGGUGCUGCAUGGUUGUCGUCAGCUCGUGCCGUGAGGUGUCGGGUUAAGUCCCAUAACGAGCGCAACCCCUACCUUUAGUUGCCAUCAGGUUAAGCUGGGGACUCUAAAGGAACUGCCUACGCAAGUAGUGAGGAAGGCGGGGAUGACGUCAAAUCAGCACGGCCCUUACGUCCAGGGCUACACACGUGCUACAAUGGCCGAUACAGAGGGCAGCUACCUGGUGACAGGAUGCAAAUCUCCAAAGUCGGUCUCAGUUCGGAUCGGAGUCUGCAACCCGACUCCGUGAAGUUGGAUUCGCUAGUAAUCGCGCAUCAGCCAUGGCGCGGUGAAUACGUUCCCGGGCCUU
rnacentral:rRNA from 1 species